rnacentral:lncRNA from 1 species
GCAGAAGAAGAAGAAUUGGUCUCAGAAGCCAUGGAAAUCAGAGAAUUAGAGCGGAAGAAACUGUUUGGUUGAUGAGAAAAGCACUGUUUGGUAGGUGAGAAAAUCACAGGUUGGAAGAAAAGGGAGAGAGGAUCGAAUAGGCGUAUGAUACCAUAAAGGAAUUUAUGAUUCUCAUUAAUUAAUUGAGAAAAGAUUACAGAAGAGUAUUUAACACUUGUCUACUCUAUACAAUAGAUAAAGCCACCUGUACAGGCUGUUACAACAGCUCUAACUAAUUACUUACAAGAGUAACUAAUAACAAACUAAUUUAAUCAGCUAACUACUCUCUUUAUAUAUAACAAAGACCCAUUCGGGGAUGCAUUAUAUAUAUAUAUAUAUAUAUAUAAAGCAAGUUUUUAUCUGCCCAUCUCGUUUCCUUGUCAUCAAGUUUCAAAUAUUAACAAGAAAGCAUUAGAAAGAAAAAAAAAAGAAAAAGAAAAAGAAAGCAACUGGACAGAUUUGAGCUAUGAAAAUACGAGGACAAAAGAUUGUGUAUACUAACACUUGUGAAAGCGUAGAGCUAACUAAUGCAUUGUUCUCCAUUUCAUGCGCGUGUCCGGCUUUGUCUAGUCUAGUCCUUCAAGUUUCGGAAGAAGAAGGCCUUUUAUACUAGAAUCGCACAAUGAUAUAGAGAUGGUAUAGAUAUGGAAAGAUCCUCGCUGUACUUAAAGACAAAAUCUUUCAUCAAGGCAUCAAACUAAUUGUGUAUAAUUCAUUUUGACUUUUGACUUGCAACGAUUGGAGACUGGCUAUAGCUAAUUAGUGCGAGGACAUUUAGGCUCUAAUUACAUUCAAAGACUACCUUUUCAUAUUUCUCAUUGGUCACCUUGGCAUAUGACCAUCUAGAUAGAGAGAGAGAGAGAGAGAGAGAGAGAGAGCCCCUCAAAGACUUGCCUUUUGACGUGUCACCAUUUAAAGAGAGCCCUCAAAGACUGCCCUAUAUUGAGAUGAGACAAGAGUUUCAAAUGUUUCAUCCAAUGUGGAACAUACCUAGAAGUUCAUUCCUUUUCAUAUUUCUCAUUGGUCACAAGCCAUCUUUAUUUAAUCUUGCGUUGUUGGGUCAUGGUCAAGUAUAGGUGACUAAAAUGCAUACAAUUCUGCUUGUUAAAAUCAACCAUUACAUUAAAUAAUAUUUUUCUUUUUUCUUUUUUUCUUUUUUUUUUUUUGCCAAAUAUAUAUGUGUGUAUUCUUUUCACAUGGAGAGAAUAAUUUUAUAGACUUGAAUAGUCAAUGAAUCUUUUCUCGUCUUCAUAUGCUUUAAAACAAGGUCAUGAUGAGACAUCUCAUCUCAAGGUUAUCUUUUGUUUGGGGAAUUAGGAUAGUCAUCCUUUAGACCAUCACAUGGCGGAAUCAUGAAUUUAUUUAGGAUCUGGCUUCUUUUUUUUUCUUGACUUCUUUCAUAAUAUAAUAUAUAAUAAUUUAAAUUGUCCAAAUUUUUUUUUUGGUAGGGGGAUAAAGCCCGAAAACAGCAUAACUAAACGCGAAUGAGGCUUAUAGUUUAGUUAAAUUUAGUAAUUCAUUUUCAAAACACUGACACAAAUAAGUACAACCAAACCCCAAAAAAAAAAAACACACACACACACAUAAAUCAGUAAAACUAAAAAUUG